GAUGCUAAAUUAGAUUUCAAAUAAAAGAAUAAUUGCGAAAAGGUAUGGAAUUAGAAAAUUAGAAAAUUAAAAUAUAUAUACAUACAUACAUACAAUCUUCUCCAGCUUCUCUGACUGCUUGCUUUCCCCUCACUGUUGUAUUAUUCAGGACCCCUUCUGCAGCACGCUUGAUUAAGUUUUUAUUUCUGCAAAUUACCAUUCUCGGAAAUGCACCACGCUACUGAAUCACAAGCUACAAGGCGGAAUACCUGCUAUCGAAUGCAAAGAAACAAAAUGUGCAGGAGUCGGCACAAAUGAUGAUGUUACGGCCUAAUCAUCUCUUUGUAUUGUUGCCGUCAUUAUGCAUUGGAAAACUCUUUGUCAACACUGUUAGCUCCUCAACAUCCAUGUCAGUAAAACAUUGUGCAAUUGAAAUGCAAAUUAGAAACUAAUGUCAACACAGUCACAAACACGGGAAGAGAUGAAGGGAUAGACUGUGAGGAGGAGUAAAGAUUGUUUUUUGUGUUUUAUUUCUUUGUCUCUAAUAGUUAUUGGCCAUCGAUACCAUUUAAGAGGACAAUGGGCAAAAGACCAAAUAAUUUGCACCCUUUCAAAGUGCAAUUAACAUAAAAGCACUCAAGUCACUUUGAAGGCAUUGGGAGUCUCGACUGUAACCAAAUUUUGCAGUAAAAAAAAAAAAGAAAAAAAUUUCUGAAAGAAAAUGAAAAAAAUAAAAAAUUUGAAACAGGAAAUAAAGAUUGGGCAACCUUAAAAGGCACGGUGUAAUACAUAUGUCCGGAUUAUGUUUUUAAAGAAAAGGAAACGAGGACAAAUACAUUUGUGUGGUUUUGUAAGAAUGUUUGAGUUAGAGCAUCACUUAAAGAACAUCUGUAUUAAUCGUUUCUAAAGAGAAAAUUAUAAAACGGCUUUUACAUAACUGAAAAAUAACUGGAUUUAGCUGUAUUGUAAUUAAUUUUGCUUAAAGCAGUUUCCUUCUUUUACCCCACUGCAUUUACUUUCAUUACUAGUUUCCAAAAAAUGUUUUGGGUUAAUUGUGUUGACCUGGCUCCAGUUACUUUGUUCUCAAAGCUGUCCUAAAGUGAGUUAAAUGAAAAAAAUGUUUUUCUAUUCCAAGACUGUUGUAUCUUUUUUUAUAUAUAUUAAAACCUUUCAGUGUUUUGUGUAAUUGCUGAAUAAAUCUUUCUGAAUAAAGAAAACAUAACUUCAGAUUUUUUUUCCUUUUUCCCCAUUAAAAAAUAAAAAUAAAUCUUGACUGAGAAAGAUGCCUAUAAACCUCCACUUGAUGACCCUAUUGGAACAUUUCUUUUAAGUUUGUGGAACAGGUGGUCAAACAUGAGGAUUCUGGAGUGCUUAGUGGGACAUCCUGCCUGCAGCCCAUCAUGACAGUGAUCAGCGUCCAGGCGUGUUUCUCCUGAGGCGACGCAGGCAGCAGUUAGGGAAAUAAUGAUGGACUGGACAGUGGGAACCUCAGAUCUGACGGCAUGCUAUCAUUAUGGAAAGGCAAUGUCUUCUCCGGGGGUGUGCUGCAGCUGAAUGAGGCUCAGCGGAGUUUUAACGCAGGGUUUUUAUUGGCCGAGGCUGACAUCACCGGGGGAACAAAGUGGAAUUCCGGAACAAGGGAUUCUCUGAACCUUGGUGAGUGUGCAGCAAAACGUUCAUUUCAAACCAAUCUGGCUCCUUACAAAGUGUUUUCCACCUGAGUUAUAUGAUUUUCUGGGAAGUGCGGCAUUGAAUUGAGCUCAGUGAUGCAAAUUUAAGAAGAAAACCUCAAGGAGUUGGCAAGAACUGUUAGGGAAAAAAUAAAAAACCUUAUUGCAACAGAUGACAUAUUCCGGCGCAAUAAUACCUGAAUGGUGCCUGCAGUGGGAAUCCUCUCCUUUUCAUGUUCUAGACACCAUUUCCAGUAGCUCAUUUCAGCACACACACACACAGACUCACAAACGCACGGUGAUCCAUGUCCAAAUGGUGUGGUGAGGACUCACAAAAGGCUCAACAGGAAGCGACUAAUCCUUGAUCUGUGUGGCGUCGCAAGAAUGGCCGCAAAACUCACACCAAGUGGCACACAAACUCAGAAAUGCACACGAUCACUGCUCACUUCCAGUUACCACCCAGAAAAAGAGAAAGAAAGAAAAAGGAAAACAAUUUUUUGGGGGGUAAAAUAAUCAAACUACGAUCAUAAUGGUGGGCAGCCUGGUUUAAAAGUGCAUCCGUCGUCCUGGGGGACCUACCAGAAGGGCACACUUUGGGGGUAAACAAAGCCACCACAAAUAGGACAGUCUCCAAUCUGUGUGUGUGUGGCACAACGGUGGAGACUGACAGGGAGGCAACAUGAGAGGGACAAGCCUUUUAACAUCUGGCUAAGCACUGACAGGAAGAGACGCACACACACUGGAGAGCAGGCAGGCGAGUCCCAGUCCUAAUUAUUAGAACACUCUUACUUAACUUAACCCUGCCACUAGACC